rnacentral:rRNA from 1 species
AUUNNNACUCAAAGGAAUUGACGGGGACCCGCACAAGCGGUGGAUGAUGUGGAUUAAUUCGAUGCAACGCGAAGAACCUUACCUGGUCUUGACAUGUACGGANCCCUCCAGAGACGGAGGGGUGCCUUCGGGAGCCGUAACACAGGUGCUGCAUGGCUGUCGUCAGCUCGUGUCGUGAGAUGUUGGGUUAAGUCCCGCAACGAGCGCAACCCUUGUCAUUAGUUGCCAUCAUUAAGUUGGGCACUCUAAUGAGACUGCCGGUGACAAGCCGGAGGAAGGUGGGGAUGACGUCAAGUCCUCAUGGCCCUUAUGACCAGGGCUUCACACGUCAUACAAUGGUCGGUACAGAGGGUAGCCAAGCCGCGAGGUGGAGCCAAUCUCACAAAACCGAUCGUAGUCCGGAUUGCACUCUGCAACUCGAGUGCAUGAAGUCGGAAUCGCUAGUAAUCGCAGGUCAGCAUACUGCGGUGAAUACGUUCCCGGGUCUUGUACACACCGCCCGUCACACCAUGGGAGUGGGGGAUACCAGAAGU